rnacentral:rRNA from 1 species
CCUACGGGUGGCAGCAGUGAGGAAUAUUGGUCAAUGGGCGCGAGCCUGAACCAGCCAAGUCGCGUGAGGGAAGACGGUCCUACGGGUUGUAAACUUCUUUUGUCAGGGAGCAAUUGGGUCCACGCGUGGGCUUAGCUAGAGUCCCUGAAGAAAAAGCAUCGGCUACCUCCGUGCCAGCCGCCGCGGUAAUACGGAGGAUGCGAGCGUUAUCCGGAUUUAUGGGGUUUAAAGGGUGCGUAGGCGGAAUAUCAAGUCAGCGGUAAAAAUUCGGGGGUAAACCCCGUCGUGCCGUUGAAACUGAUGUUCUUGAGUGGGCGAGAAGUAUGCGGAAUGCGUGGUGUAGCGGUGAAAUGCAUAGAUAUCACGCAGAACUCCGAUUGCGAAGGCAGCAUACCGGCGCCCAACUGACGCUGAAGCACGAAAGCGUGGGUAUCGAACAGGAUUAGAUACCCUAGUAGUC